UCGACUAUUGGAUGAUAAACUUGAGAAACUCAAGUGCACAAGGGAUGAAACUCAGAGUUCUAUGCAGAAUGAUCAAUCAAGGAUGAAACAGCAAAGGCAAGUUUGGUAUAUCUGAUCUGUUAAAGCCUGUUUGCACCAGUGAUCCUGUUUAAGUGUUUAUGUCAAUUCAUCGCAUAUUCUAGUUGUUUUGCCUGAUAUUGGAUAUCUUUUUUUAAUUGGACUUAUGUUUGUCAGGCUAUUGGCUGAGAAAAUCACCCUGUCACUAAAUAAAGCUCCGAGUAUUAUUCAGAAUGAUCAUAUUUCGCAGGUUGAUCCUGUUCAAAAAAUUCUGGUAUUCUGAAUACUGCACUAUUUCCAAUAUGUCCAUUUCCCUAUCAUCAUUUGUCAAGAUUAAUUAGAAUGUGCUAUUUCCAGCCCCCACAGCAAUGCUUCAACAAGUGGGAUCAGCC
rnacentral:lncRNA from 1 species